rnacentral:tRNA from 2 species
GGAAGGCAAUCGCAUCCGGUGGUGCGGCUGGAUUUCAAAUCCAGUUGGGGACGUCAGCCGUUCCCGGGACAGUUCGACUCUGUCUGCUUUCCGCCA